UACGGAGGAUGCGAGCGUUAUCCGGAUUUAUUGGGUUUAAAGGGUGCGUAGGCUGAUCGUUAAGUCAGUGGUCAAAUUGAGGGGCUCAACCCCUUCCCGCCAUUGAAACUGGCGAUCUUGAGUGGAAGAGAAGUAUGCGGAAUGCGUGGUGUAGCGGUGAAAUGCAUAGAUAUCACGCAGAACCCCGAUUGCGAAGGCAGCAUGCCGGCUUCCGACUGACGCUGAAGCACGAAAGCGUGGGGAUCGAACAGG
rnacentral:rRNA from 1 species